GAUGAACGCUAGCGGCAGGCUUAAUACAUGCAAGUCGUGGGGCAGCAUGAAUGUAGCAAUACAUUUGAUGGCGACCGGCAAACGGGUGCGGAACACGUACACAACCUUCCUAUAAGUGGGGAAUAGCCCAGAGAAAUUUGGAUUAAUACCCCGUAACAUAACGAUGUGGCAUCACAUUGUUAUUAUAGCUUCGGCGCUUAUUGAUGGGUGUGCGGCUGAUUAGAUAGUUGGCGGGGUAACGGCCCACCAAGUCUACGAUCAGUAGCUGAUGUGAGAGCAUGAUCAGCCACACGGGCACUGAGACACGGGCCCGACUCCUACGGGAGGCAGCAGUAAGGAAUAUUGGUCAAUGGACGCAAGUCUGAACCAGCCAUGCCGCGUGAAGGAUUAAGGUCCUCUGGAUUGUAAACUUCUUUUAUCUGGGACGAAAAAAGGCGAUUCUCCGUCACUUGACGGUACCAGAUGAAUAAGCACCGGCUAACUCCGUGCCAGCCGCCGCGGUAAAAC
rnacentral:rRNA from 1 species